UGCAUGCAUGACUGUGAGUCGCUUUGGCUUAAAGUGUCUGCUAAAUGGCGUAUA
rfam:Salmo salar isolate Sally breed double haploid chromosome ssa13, whole genome shotgun sequence.